rnacentral:tRNA from 1 species
GCCGGGUUAGCACAGUGGUAGUGCAGCGGUUUUGUAAACCGCAGGUCGUCAGUUCGAUCCUGACACCCGGCU